UCUUCGGAUGAAGAGGAUUGUGACUGAGCGGCGGACGGGUGAGUAACGCGUGGGUAACCUGCCUCAUACAGGGGGAUAACAGUUAGAAAUGACUGCUAAUACCGCAUAAGACCACAGCGCCGCAUGGUGCGGGGGUAAAAACUCCGGUGGUAUGAGAUGGACCCGCGUCUGAUUAGCUAGUUGGUAAGGUAACGGCUUACCAAGGCGACGAUCAGUAGCCGACCUGAGAGGGUGACCGGCCACAUUGGGACUGAGACACGGCCCAAACUCCUACGGGAGGCAGCAGUGGGGAAUAUUGCACAAUGGGGGAAACCCUGAUGCAGCGACGCCGCGUGAGCGAAGAAGUAUUUCGGUAUGUAAAGCUCUAUCAGCAGGGAAGAAAAUGACGGUACCUGACUAAGAAGCACCGGCUAAAUACGUGCCAGCAGCCGCGGUAAUACGUAUGGUGCAAGCGUUAUCCGGAUUUACUGGGUGUAAAGGGAGCGUAGACGGAUGGGCAAGUCUGAUGUGAAAACCCGGGGCUCAACCCCGGGACUGCAUUGGAAACUGUUCAUCUAGAGUGCUGGAGAGGUAAGUGGAAUUCCUAGUGUAGCGGUGAAAUGCGUAGAUAUUAGGAGGAACACCAGUGGCGAAGGCGG
rnacentral:rRNA from 1 species